rnacentral:lncRNA from 1 species
AUUAAACCAAAUAUAGUUUUACAUUUAAAAUUCAUCAUCAAUCUUAUUUUGUGUUUCAUAGAAUAAAAGUCAUACAAUUGGAACAAAUGAGUAAAUGAUGACUAAUUUUCCAUUUUUUGGUGAACUAUUCCUUUGAGCUACCUGCUGACCCUGUUAACAGGAUCCAGGACUCUGGUGACCGAGGAGUCAGUUGUUCCCAUCUUCUGAUCUCUUCUCCAGCAAGUUUGUGUGCCACAGUGAAAGGUGACGACUUCUAGCAUCUUAUAAGUCAAACUUUCUACCCCUUUGCCCCCAUACAGCGGAUAUAUUUAUCCUUGUGUCUGCUGUGGUUGGACCACGCUGUUACAGCUAUAUAUUAUCUGCAUGUGCAAAAACAGGCUUCAGUCGAUUGGGACUUCAAAGAGUGCAGAUCUCCAGGAAACAAGCUCAAUCUCUGGGACUCACCGCAAAGCAGGUAGCAGUGUUCUGUCAUGCUCCUACAGUGUUUCUGGCUUGAGAACAGGUUGAGCUGUCCUCUCAUUGCCUAGUGCUGCUCAUGAGGAGAGAAAGUGCAGUUAAACACUGCUCCAGACUGCCGAUAGGUCUGAUGAAUGAGCUUGCUGCACAAGGCCUUAUUGGAUCAAUCCGUACAAGAUUCACAGAUGUUCUGGGUCCACAUGUCUGCUUUCACAGUGUUCCCUACUCUAAAAACCACCACAAUGUUCUGAGUGGGUGCAUGUGGACAGUGCCGGAGUGUAGCCACAUGGUCUUGUCCAAACACGCAUAUCCUACUUGUCCAGAUGCAGAGCAGGUGGUGGUUCUCACACUGACUGGUCAAAACAUUGUCGAGAAAGAAAUGGACUUUCUUCAUAAGGUUCUCAAGAGAGAUGCAGCAGGACAAGAUGGAUUUGAGCUGCUGGCACUAAAGUGGGAACCCAAGCUGUCUCAGCAGCAGGCACAAGAGUUGAGUCCGUUCGAGAUCAGAGAAAAAGUGGGGCAAUGGCUCUGA